rnacentral:tRNA from 1 species
UCCCUGGUGGAUCAGUGGUAAAGAAUCUGCCUGCCAAAGCAGGAGACUCAGGUUCAAUCUCUGAUUUGGGAA